AUUGAACGCUGGCGGCAUGCCUUACACAUGCAAGUCGAACGGUAACAGGUCUUCGGAUGCUGACGAGUGGCGAACGGGUGAGUAAUACAUCGGAACGUGCCUAGGAGUGGGGGAUAACUACUCGAAAGAGUGGCUAAUACCGCAUGAGAUCUACGGAUGAAAGCAGGGGAUCGCAAGACCUUGUGCUACUAGAGCGGCCGAUGGCAGAUUAGGUAGUUGGUGGGAUAAAAGCUUACCAAGCCGACGAUCUGUAGCUGGUCUGAGAGGACGAUCAGCCACACUGGGACUGAGACACGGCCCAGACGCCUACGGGGGGCAGCAGUGGGGAAUUUUGGACAAUGGGCGAAAGCCUGAUCCAGCAAUGCCGCGUGCAGGAUGAAGGCCUUCGGGUUGUAAACUGCUUUUGUACGGAACGAAAAGCCCUGGGUUAAUACCCUGGGGUCAUGACGGUACCGUAAGAAGAAGGACCGGCCAACUACGUGCCAGCAGCCGCCGUAA
rnacentral:rRNA from 1 species